CAAUCCAAUUGGGUUAAACCAACUCUCCAUUACGUCUUCAUCCAACGGUAGAUCAAGAUCUAACGGUCUAGAUUGAAUGAUUUAUUAAAUCUAAUCCAAUUAGACUCAAACCAAGCCAAUUAGGUGCCAACUCUUGGCUAACCUAUAUUAGAAUAUGAUCUAAUCAAAUUAGAUCAAUUAAGAAUCAGAUUCGGAUCCAAUUCGAAUCAGAUUCCAAUCCAAUUCGAAUUAGGAGCUAAGGUUUGCAACACCUGCUAGGAUGUUUAUCUUGCAAACAUGAUCUAAUCCAAUUAGACCCUUGAUAAGUUUCCUUGUGUGUGACCCAUUGGGUUCCAUACUUAGCCAGCAAUAGGUGUGAGUGCGAGUUGACUCAACUUGAUUAGAACUCUUCUAAUCGAUUUAAGUCCAAACUACGCGAACCCGAAUCUAACAAUUAGAAUCCUUUCUAAUUGGUGAUCGAAUUAAACUCUUUAAUUUGAUCAAACCUAUAAGACAAGAUUGACGUCUAGCAACGUGUCAUGUC
rnacentral:lncRNA from 1 species